rnacentral:tRNA from 4 species
GGAGAGGUGGCUGAGUGGUCGAUAGCGGCGCUUUGCUAAAGCGUUGUAGGUGUAACAGCCUACCGGGGGUUCGAAUCCCCCCCUCUCCGCCA